GAAGGCUUGCUAAUAAACUUCCCGGGCGGGCUCUAGUGUGAGGAAUGUGGUAACCUGUAUGUCCUUGGCCAGUAAUGCCCUUCGGUCUUUCAACUUUUUACAGUAGAUUCUGUGUCAGAGGUAAUGACGGAGUCUUGCUAUGUUGCCCAGGCUGGUCUUGAACUCCGGGGCUCAGACAGUCCUCCCACCUUGGGCUCCCAGAGUGCUGGGAUUACUGCUGUGAGCCACUGCACCUGCCUGCAUCAUGCUUAGGUUUGAAUGUGGUUGUGUGAUGAUCAGAGCUGCUGCAGCCAUCUUGUGACCACGAAGGGAUGUACAUGAAGCAUGGCACCAACAGCUGCUCCUGUGAGGCCUCAAGAAGCUUACAAUCGUGGCAGAAGCUGAAGGGGGAGCCAGCGUGUGGCAUGGCAAGGGAAGGAGCAAGAGAGAGAGGGAGGAGCUGCCAGGCUCUUGAACAACCAGAUCUCACGUGAACUCACAGAUUGAAAUUCACUCAUUACUGUGAGGACACACCAAGCCAUUUAUGAGGGAUGCACCCCUAUGACCCAAACACCUCCUACUAGGCCCACCUCCAACAUCAGAGGUCACAUGAAACGAGAUGUAUAGGGGACAAAACAGUCAAACCAUAUCAGUCCCACCAGCAAGAAGGCUCUCACUGGAUGUGGUCCCUUGAUCUUGGACUUCUCAGCCUCUGUAACUGUAAAAAAUAAA
rnacentral:lncRNA from 1 species